rnacentral:lncRNA from 1 species
GAGCGGUGCGAGCAGCAAUUGGCGAGCGGAGAGCGCAGCCGCUCACCUGAGACAGGUGAGACAGGUGAGACAGGUGAGAGACAGGUGAGACAGGUGAGAUUGUACAGGUGAGACAGGUGAGACAGGUGACACAGGUGACACAGGUGAGACAGGUGACACAGGUGAGACAGGUGACACAGGUGACACAGGUGACACAGGUGACACAGGUGACACAGGUGGGACAGGUGACACAGGUGACACAGGUGACACAGGUGACACAGGUGAGACAGGGCGGGGGGAGUGGGACAGC